rnacentral:rRNA from 1 species
AAGACCUUGCGCUUUUGGAGCGGCCGAUGUCUGAUUAGCUAGUUGGUGAGGUAAAGGCUCACCAAGGCUCCGAUCAGUAGCUGGUCUGAGAGGACGACCAGCCACACUGGGACUGAGACACGGCCCAGACUCCUACGGGAGGCAGCAGUGGGGAAUUUUGGACAAUGGGGGCAACCCUGAUCCAGCCAUGCCGCGUGAGUGAAGAAGGCCUUCGGGUUGUAAAGCUCUUUCAGCCGGAACGAAAUAGUUACAGCUAAUACCUGUGACUUCUGACGGUACCGGAAGAAGAAGCACCGGCUAACUACGUGCCAGCAGCCGCGGUAAUACGUAGGGUGCGAGCGUUAAUCGGAAUUACUGGGCGUAAAGCGUGCGCAGGUGGUUUUGUAAGUCAGAUGUGAAAUCCCCGGGCUUAACCUGGGAACU